UACGUAGGUGGCAAGCGUUGUUCGGAAUUAUUGGGCGUAAAGAGCUCGUAGGUGGCUUGUCACGUCGGGUGUGAAAGCUUGGGGCUUAACUCCAGGUCUGCAUUCGAUACGGGCUGGCUAGAGGUAGGUAGGGGAGAACGGAAUUCCUGGUGUAGCGGUGAAAUGCGCAGAUAUCAGGAGGAACACCGGUGGCGAAGGCGGUUCUCUGGGCCUUACCUGACGCUGAGGAGCGAAAGCGUGGGGAGCGAACAGG
rnacentral:rRNA from 1 species